GUGCUCACUUCAGCAGCACAUAUACUGAAACUGGACCAAUCCAGAGAUUAGCAUGGCCUCUGUGCAAGGAUGGCACACAAAUUCAUGAAGUGUUCCACAUUUUC